GCGCCCGUAGCUCAGCUGGAUAGAGCGGCAGCCUCCGAAGCUGUAGGCCAGAGGUUCGAAUCCUCUCGGGCGCACCA
rnacentral:tRNA from 1 species